AAAGCCCUGACCUCGCGGGAAGGGUGCAUUUAUUAGAACAAAACCAAGCGGCUUCGCGCCGUUUUUUGUUGACUCAGAAUAACUAAGCUGAUCGCAUGGUCUUGUACCGGCGACGUGUCUUUCAAGUAUCUGCCUUAUCAACUUUCGAUGGUAGUGUAUCUGACUACCAUGGUGGUGACGGGUAACGGAGGAUAAGGGUUUGACUCCGGAGAAGGGGCCUGAGAAAUGGCCACUACGUCUAAGGAUGGCAGCAGGCGCGCAAAUUACCCACUCUCAGAACGAGGAGGUAGUGACGAAAAAUAACGAGACCGUUCUCUAUGAGGCCGGUCAUCGGAAUGGGUACAAUUUAAAACUUUUAACGAGUAUCUAUGAGAGGGCAAGUCUGGUGCCAGCAGCCGCGGUAAUUCCAGCUCUCAAAAUGCAUAGAAUUAUUGCUGCGGUUAAAAAGCUCGUAGUUGGAUCUGUGCCUGGGUUUUGGUCCACCUCACGGUGCGUACUGGGCUCCCCGGCUUUUCUGCUGGUUUUCUCGUCAUGGUCUUAACCGGCCGUGGCGGGUGGCUGGCGAUUUUACUUUGAACAAAUCAGAGUGCUUCAACACAGGCGUUUCGCUUGAAUGUUCUUGCAUGGAAUAAUAGAAGAGGAUUUCGGUCCUAUUUUAUUGGUUUUAUAGGCUGAAAUAAUGGUUAAUAGAGACAAACGGGGGCAUUCGUAUCGCUGCGUGAGAGGUGAAAUUCUUGGACCGCAGCGAGACGAACUACAGCGAAAGCAUUUGCCAAGAAUGUCUUCAUUAAUCAAGAACGAAAGUCAGAGGUUCGAAGGCGAUCAGAUACCGCCCUAGUUCUGACCGUAAACGAUGCCAACUAGCGAUCCGCCGGUGGAAUAUUUGCCCUGGUGGGGAGCUUCCCGGAAACGAAAGUCUUCCGGUUCCGGGGGAAGUAUGGUUGCAAAGCUGAAACUUAAAGGAAUUGACGGAAGGGCACCACCAGGAGUGGAGCCUGCGGCUUAAUUUGACUCAACACGGG
rnacentral:rRNA from 1 species